UAGGGAAUCUUCCGCAAUGGACGAAAGUCUGACGGAGCAACGCCGCGUGAACGAUGAAGGCCUUCGGGUCGUAAAGUUCUGUUGUUAGGGAAGAACAAGUACCAGAGUAACUGCUGGUACCUUGACGGUACCUAACCAGAAAGCCACGGCUAACUACGUGCCAGCAGCCGCGGUAAUACGUAGGUGGCAAGCGUUGUCCGGAAUUAUUGGGCGUAAAGCGCGCGCAGGCGGUUUCUUAAGUCUGAUGUGAAAGCCCACGGCUCAACCGUGGAGGGUCAUUGGAAACUGGGGAACUUGAGUGCAGAAGAGGAGAGUGGAAUUCCACGUGUAGCGGUGAAAUGCGUAGAGAU
rnacentral:rRNA from 1 species